AGGGUUUGAUUAUGGCUCAGGAUGAACGCUGGCGGCGUGCCUAACACAUGCAAGUCGAACGGGGUUAUUUAGGAAUGUUCCUUCGGGGACAGGAAUUCUUAACCUAGUGGCGGACGGGUGAGUAACGCGUGAGCAAUCUGCCUUUAGGAGGGGGAUAACAGUCGGAAACGGCUGCUAAUACCGCAUGAUACACUGAGAAGGCAUCUUCUUAGUGUCAAAGAUUUUAUCGCCUUUAGAUGAGCUCGCGUCUGAUUAGCUGGUUGGCGGGGUAACGGCCCACCAAGGCGACGAUCAGUAGCCGGACUGAGAGGUUGAACGGCCACAUUGGGACUGAGACACGGCCCAG
rnacentral:rRNA from 1 species